UAACCUGCCUGUAAGACUGGGAUAACUCCGGGAAACCGGGGCUAAUACCGGAUGGUUGUUUGAACCGCAUGGUUCAAACAUAAAAGGUGGCUUCGGCUACCACUUACAGAUGGACCCGCGGCGCAUUAGCUAGUUGGUGAGGUAACGGCUCACCAAGGCAACGAUGCGUAGCCGACCUGAGAGGGUGAUCGGCCACACUGGGACUGAGACACGGCCCAGACUCCUACGGGAGGCAGCAGUAGGGAAUCUUCCGCAAUGGACGAAAGUCUGACGGAGCAACGCCGCGUGAGUGAUGAAGGUUUUCGGAUCGUAAAGCUCUGUUGUUAGGGAAGAACAAGUACCGUUCGAAUAGGGCGGUACCUUGACGGUACCUAACCAGAAAGCCACGGCUAACUACGUGCCAGCAGCCGCGGUAAUACGUAGGUGGCAAGCGUUGUCCGGAAUUAUUGGGCGUAAAGGGC
rnacentral:rRNA from 2 species